ensembl:lncRNA
ACACACACACACACAUUCUGAUCAAUAUGGAAUCAGAGGUACUUUCGCAGGACGUUUUCUUCGCGGGUGCUUUUUAAGGGACUCCCUGUUUCCUCCCAACAACUCACCAGGAAACCGCAAUAAAGAAAAGUGAAGAAGAAGAAGAACAGUAAACAAUACAGGUUGCAAACUUUUAAUGAACAUCGGCUCUGCAAAUGUUUUUGGGGCUGACGGAAACCCAUUGAACAUUUGAAGGAUUCCGACUGUUUUGGUGUUUCAUUUAAACAGAAUAUUCCGUGGUGGGAUAUUUUGUGUCUAAUCAAAGUGGUGGAUGUGGAAAUAUUGUGUUUGUAUUGUUUUCGCUGCUGGAGACAAGUCUGAUGCAACUCCGUGUGGAUGGAUGUGAAUAGUGAGCUUCAUGAGUGUGAAGAAAGGGAACGAGGACGGGCAACAACUAGGAUGUGAGGAAGGUAAGAUCAAGAUGGGAGAACCAGGACAAAGAGACGACAACCAGGACCAGGACUGAAAGGAGAAAGACUCUUCUGUCCCUCCCUGUUUCCAGGGUCACAUUCCUGCAUUGUUCUCUGAGCGUCUCUUCGUCAGUUCGCCCGGGACAGACGUCUCAUUUGUCUUCCUCCCGGUUUUCAGCUGCACACAGAACUACGUCUUUGUUCCUAUAAAUCUAAUAAAGAGCCUGAUUGCUUUUGCUAAUCAUCC